CCCAGUUGUUUCAUAAGCUUCUCUAGCUACCACCUUUUGCCAUUGCUGAUCAGUUGACCAGUAAUUUGAAAGAUGGAGUUUAGUAGAGUUAACAUGAGGGCCCGUUGCUCUGGUUCAACACCAUCAGAGGAAUCAGCUUUAGAUACUGAAAGAAACUGUUGCAGUCAUCCUAGCCUGCCUUCAUUAAGUCCCCGACCUCUUCAACCUUUUGCUUCUGGUGGACAGCACUGUGAGAGCAGUGCUGCUUAUUUCUCCUGGCCUAGCUGGCGGUU
rnacentral:misc_RNA from 1 species